GCCUGGGUGGCUCAGUGGGUUGAGCGUCUGACUUCAGCUCAGGUCAUGAUCUCACAGCUUGUGAGUUCGAGCCCCGCAUCAGGCU
rnacentral:tRNA from 1 species